AACCAGCUCUUCAAGUGGUCGGGAUGAUUAUUGGGCUUAAAGUGUCCGUAGCCGGUUUAGUAAGUUCCUGGUAAAAUCAGGUAGCUUAACUAUCUGUAUGCUAGGAAUACUACUAUACUAGAGGGCGGAGAGGUCUGAGGUACUAUAGGGGUAGGGGUGGAAAUCUUAUAAUCCUUGUAGGACCACCAGUGGCGAAGGCGUCAGACUGGAACGUGCCUGACGGUGAGGGACGAAAGCCAGGGGAGCGAACCGGAUUAGAUACCGGGUAGUCCUGGCCGUAAACGAUGCAUACUAGGUGAUGGCCCGGCCAUGAGCCGUGUCAGUGCCGUAGGGAAACCGUUAAGUGUGCCGCCUGGGAAGUACGGUCGCAAGGCUAAAACUUAAAGGAAUUGGCGGGGAGCACCACAAGGGGUGAAGCCUGCGGUUC
rnacentral:rRNA from 1 species